AUUGAACGCUGGCGGCAGGCCUAACACAUGCAAGUCGAACGAGUGGCGGACGGGUGAGUAAUGUCUGGGAAACUGCCUGAUGGAGGGGGAUAACUACUGGAAACGGUAGCUAAUACCGCAUACCAUCGGAUGUGCCCAGGUGGGAUUAGCUAGUGGGUGGGGUAAAGGCUCACCUAGGCGACGAUCCCUAGCUGGUCUGAGAGGAUGACCAGCCACACUGGGACUGAGACACGGUCCAGACUCCUACGGGAGGCAGCAGUGGGGAAUAUUGGGCAAUGGGCGAAAGCCUGAUCCAGCCAUGCCGCGUGUGUGAAGAAGGUCUUCGGAUUGUAAAGCACUUUCGGUAGGGAGGCGUUACCUACAGAAUAAGCACCGGCUAACUCCGUGCCAGCAGCCGCGGUAAUAC
rnacentral:rRNA from 1 species